rnacentral:lncRNA from 10 species
ACCAGCCUAACCAACAUGGAGAAACCCCGUCUCUACUAAAAAUACAAAAUUAGCCGGUCGUGGUGGCGCAUGCGUGUAAUCCCAGCUACUUGGGAGGCUGAGGCAGGAGAAUAGCUUGAACCCGGGAGGCGGAGGUUGCAGUGAGCCGAGACCACGAAAUUCCAUCUCAAAAUAAAUAAAUAAAUAAAUAUUGAACCAUUAAGCGCCUUACCUAGUUAAAAUUAAUUGCAUUUAAAAAAAGUGUGAAAUAAUGUGUGUUUUUAAAAAAAACCCCAUCAAAUCCACACGGGGGCAGCAUUGCUUUACAGGGAGGAAGGGAGCCGCAAAGGCGUGGGCUCAGCCUUAGCAUGGGUGCUGGGAUCGUGACUUACAUUUUUUUCUCAUUUUCUGUAUUGUCCCCAUUUUCUACUAAGACCUAUAUAGAAAUAAAAUACAUUUUAUUUAAAGAGAGAAGGAAGUGUCAGGCCCCGUCCCUCUUUAGCCGUGUAGCCAUACCUCUGUAUUUAAAUUCGUAAAAGUAGAAUUCUGAGGAGCGAGGGGGCCUGGGUGACAUCUGAAGUAUUUGGCAGGGGGUCGGGCGCAGUGGCUCACUCCUGUAAUCCCAGCACUUGGGGAGGCUGAGGCGGGCGGACGACUUGAGGUCGAGACCAGCCUGGCCAGAAUGGCAAAACCCCAUCUCUACUAAAAACACAAAAAUUAGCCGGGCAUGGUGGCACACGCCUGUAAUCUCAACUACUCGGGAGGCUGAGGCAGGAGAAUCACUUGAACCCAGGAGGCGGAGGUUGCAGUGAACUGAGAUUGUGCCACUGCACUCCAGCCUGGGUGACAGAGCAGCGGGAGAGUCCAUCUCUAAAUAAAUAAAUAAAAUACAAUAAGUAUUGGUAGAUAUGCCGAACAGAUAGCCCUCUAGUUGUAUUAUUCUAUGCUAUUAAUAAGAGUGUACACCGAUGCCUGUCCCCAACAUACUUGCCAAUACAGUGUAUUGUUAUUUUGCUAGAUCUUGUUCAAUCUGAUAAAAAAUAUCUCCUUGUUUUAAUUGUAUAUGUUUAGUUAUAAAGGAGGCUAAUUAUGUUUUUAUGGAGUUAAAAAGCAGUAUUUUUCUGUGAACUACUUCCCCCACUCUAACGAGGGCAGGGAAUUUGUCUAUGUUGUUCCCACUGCUCUGUGCGCACAAUACAUAUUGUUGAAUGAAUGAAUGAAUGAAUGAAUGAAUGAUAAAUAACUUUUCUGAGCUCCAGUUUCCUCAGCUAUAGAAUGGGGGUGUGUCUUGUAGUUGCCUCACUGGAGGGUGGCAUUGACCCUCCCUCUCCAUCCAACUGUGGUUGGUCAUCUGCCACGGAGGAUUCUACACAUGCACCAAGAGGCAUGAAAAGACUGACAUCAUGAGGCUUUCUGGGGAGAGCAGGGCAGGCUCCCUAGCAGGUCCAAAAUGGUUUGAGGGAGUGAUGCCUUGUAUUGAAGCCCACACACAAUGCUUCAUGUAGGUUAUGUCAGCAAAUACUAGUUGACAGGAAGGAAAGAUUAUAUCCUUGGGGGAAGGAUUGGUUGGUAAAGCUGAACAUAUGCAUAUCCUGUGAUUCAGCAAUUCCAUUCCUACAUACAUACCCAACAGAAAUACUGACAUGUGUUCACGAAAAAACAGGUACAAGAAUAUGUGUAGCAACUCUAUUCAUAAUAGCUCCAAACUGGGAACUGCCCAAACAGCAUUGUAUAAUGGACAAAUUAUAGUGUUUCCAAAAAUGGAAUAUUACACAUCAAAGAGCACAAAAGAUCCACAAUAACACACAGCGGUAUGAAUGAAUAUACUAUACAAAAUGUCAAGGACAGAAGCCAAAGGCCAAACACAAAAGCGCGCGUACUGUGUCACUCCACUCAUAUAAAGUACAAAAACUCAUCUUUGCUUCUACAGUUCAGGAUAAUGGUUACCCUGGAAGGGACACAAAGGGGAGCUUCCAGGGUGCUGAUAAUGUUCUGUUUCUUGAUCUGAGGGCUGGUUCCCUGGGUGGGUUCAGUUUGUGGAAAAAAUUCAGUGAGCUGCACAUUUUUGAUAUAAAUACAUUUUAAUAUAUAUGUUAAGCCCCUAUAAAAAUUAAAAAACAAAAGAAAGCAAAAAUAGACUAGUCUGAAGGUAGUGAUAUAUCUCCGUUGAUUGUUCACAGUCAAAGAUUGAAUUCUUUGGUCUACUUUUCCCCCCUUCUCACUACUGAUCUUGACUAGUCUUAAAAAAAAAAAAAAAAAGCAAAAUUCCUCAAUGGAGAAAAACGUACAGGAAAAGUUGCCGUCUUGUUAGCUGUGGUAGUGUCUAGGUGAUGAGACUAUGGUUGGGGUUUUCCCUUCUCCUCCUGUAUGCUUCCAGUUUACUAUAAUUCACUCAUUAAUCCAAGGCAUAUUAAAAUGCGUACUAUGUGCUAGGUACUGUUCUGUUCAACUCUCCUGGGUACAAGAGGGAACAAAAUAGAAGAAUUCCCUGUCCUUGAUAGUUUACAUUCUAGAAAGGGGAGAUGGACAGUAAAGAAUAAACAUGUAAAUAAACGAUGUCAAAUGGUAAUAAUUGCUAUGGAGAAAAGUAAACAGGGAGAGUCCUGUCAACACGGAUCUAUUUCAUUAGGGUGGUCAGGAAAGGCUCUAGUGAUCAAGAGCAACUUGGGCAGAAACCUGUAGGAAAUAAGGGAAAAAGCCACGCAGAUAUGGUUGGGAAUUGAGAAAAAGAAUUCCAGGUAGAGGGUAGAGCAAUGGCAAAGGCAUUGAGGUGGGUAUUAGCUUUAUUUUUCAAAGAAUAUCAAGAAGGUCACAAUGCCAGUUACCAAUUUAUUGCAUCUCAGCUCCAAAUCCACCCUUCAGGGCCUGCUCUGUAGAAUAGACUCUUAAUAGUUUUUGUCAGCUGGCACAAUGUUAAGGUUGGCCGGUAGAGGGUGCUGGAGAGACAGUGGAGGAAGACGGGCUUGCUUUCCAGGUUCUGGAGUCUGGAGUUCCAGGUCUUAGCAGUUCUGCAGCCUGCCCUGUUUCCCUAGGGCCUGGCUCACAGCCUCAGUGAUUUCUCCAGCACCAGGCUUCUGUAAGGAAGAUGGCUUUUACAAUGCAUGGUGGCCAUCAGCACCCAGCAACCAGCAGCUGCUUUUGGCACCUCCUGGGAUGAUUUUGUAACAGAGUGCCUCUAGGGAGAUGGCUCACCAUGAAUGGCUUUCCCUGGUAUCCCAUUGGGCGUAUUUCCAGCAAGUUCCACCAGUGAGGCACCACAGUGACUUCUCUGAACACUGAACCACAGCAUGCGCUGUCCAACGAAGCCUGGCCCUCAACCUUGUUGGGGUGACGGGAGUGUGCUCUUCCUUGGGCACUCUAGGGAUAGUAGAUGUCCCUUAAUUCUGCAAUUCCAGCAUCCUUUGGCAUUCUCUUUAUUUCUUACUAGCUCACCCCUGUGAAAAUUGACUAUACAAAUUGAGGCCAUUCUCGUCAUAGCCAACUAAAUCAGAGUUGAGGGGCCAGGGGAAAAAAUCACUCUGGGAACAUAGCACCUACUCCAAGAAUUAAAUUUUCCACACACCCAGCUGCUAAAUGUCCUAUUGUAACCCUAAGACCAGUGUUACCUAGAAGCUGCUGAAAUAACGUGCCACGCCUCUAAGACUGGUUUUACCCACAGCUGCCACUCACCAGUCAGAGCUUGCCAGCUCCCAAAUCUCUAAUGCCAAUGAACUUUCUUUCAAAACGGUACAUAACGUUACUUUUUCCAGUUAAACUCCCAACCUUCUCUUUGUUCUUUGGACAUACUGAAGACAUCCUGGUCUAUGUGUGUGUCCUGAGUUGCAAUUCUUGCUUUCCAAAUAAAAUGUUUUAAGUGUAGAGAUUCAUCUCUGUAUUUUUAUUUUCACCUCAACACCUUCCAAUUCCUCCAACUCCCUGUUACGGUAAAUAAUUCUCUAUAUUAAAUUUCCCUCCCACAAAUUACUGUAUGGUUUCUAUCUUAGUAGACCCUGAUUGAUACAGUCACUCUGGCGUUAAAGGAGCAAGAGAAUAAAGGGUAGGAGAUGAAGUCAGAGAGGAUCCAGGGUUCCUGGAGGACAUUUGUUUUCACUGAGUGAGAGGGGUCAUCCAUGGAGGGGAUUUGAGCAAAGGAAUGAUAUGAUGUGACUUAGAUUUUUUCAGAAGCUCCCCGUGGCUGCUUAAAAGGAGGAGAAGGGACAGAAAGUGAGGUAGGAGCAGAAGCGGUGAGACCAGUGAGGAGGCUACGGUCAUAUUGCAAGCAACAGAUGAUGGGGGCUUGGAUCAGGCUGUGGUUGUUGGUGGUGUUGAGAGACAGAUGAAUUCUGGGUACCUCUUGAAGGUCAAACUGGCAGGAUUUGAAGUUGGAUUUAAUGAGGUGAGGGAGAAAAACAGGGAUAAAGAAUAAUUCAAGGGUUUGGACCUAAAAAGCUAAAAUGAUAGAGUUUUCUUUGACAGUGAAAGGGGGCAAGAAUUCCCCCGUGAAAGGGGACAAGGAAUUCCAUUUUGGAUUUAUUAAAUUACACACAACAAAUCGAGGACCAUUAAUUUAAGAAAAUCUACCAAAGGAUGGAAGGCUUAUGUGCUCAAGUCCCCUUGUGCUUAAUCACAAGCACAACCUCUGACUAAUCAUAUGCUGAUUCGGGGGUGACUUCUAGGAAGUCAGACAAUAAUAAAAACAAGAAUUAAAAACAAACAAACAAAAAAAACAACCCACAGAGACAUCAGCCCUCACCCAGGGCUAGGGAAAUAGGUUCCACAGAAUUAAUCCAGCCAAAUCCAGGAAGCAAAAAGCCAAAUAACAGCAGUAACAACCACCCCUCCUGGGGAAAUCAGAAUUCAGAGUUGCAACAAUAUAUUACGUAACAUGUCCAGUCUUCCACAAAAAAUUAAGAGGCAUGAAACCCCCUCUCUUCUCUCUCUCUCUCUCUCUCUCACACACACACACACACACACACAUGCACACGCACACCAGGAAAGUAUGACUCAUAUAUAGAAAAAAGCAGUCAAUACACAAAAUCUCUGAGGGCACCCAGAUGUUAGACUUAGCAGACACAGGGUUCACAGCAGCUAUUAUAAAUAUGUUGGCUUAACAAAUCUAUGGACAUCCCCCAACUCCCAGCAACAGUAGAAUACACUCUUCUCGAGCACCCAUUGAACAUUCUCAAGAAUACACAUGUGCUAGGCAAUACAACAAAUCUCAAUUAAUUUUGUUAUAUUUAUAUUUUUCCAUCAGCUGCCUCAAGUUGAACAUUUUUUUCGUAGAGAUGGGGUCUUGCUAUGUUGGCCAGGCUAGUCUUGAACUCCUGAGCUCAAGUGAUCCUCCUGCCUUGGACUCCCAAAAUGUUGGGAUUAUAGGUGUGAGCCACUGCACCUGGCCUGUAAUUUUUUUUAAUUAAACUUUUUAUUUUGAGGUAACUAUCAAUUCACAUGGCUUUGCAAGAAACAAUAGACAGACAUACUUAUAUAUUACCCAAUUUGUCCCAAUGGUAACAUCUUGCAAAACUAUAGCAAAUCAACACAACCAGGAUAUAUCACAUCCAGGAUAUUGACAUUGAUACAGUCAAGAUAGAGAACAUUUGCAACAUAACAAAGUUCUUUGUGUGAUUGUGUUGUCUUUUUAUAACCCCGCCCACUCAUUCUCACUCCCACACCCUCCUUAACCUCAGGCAACCACUAAUCUCUUCUUUAGAUCUAUAAUUUUGUUGUUUCAAGAAUGUCAUAUAAAUGGAAUCAUACAGUAUGUAACCUUUUAGGAUUGACUUUUUUCACUCAGCAUACUUCUAUGGAAGUUCCUCCAGAUGUUGCAAGUGCCAAUAAUUUAUUCCUUUUUAUCACUGAGUAGUAUUCUGUGGUAUGGAUGUACCACAGGUUAACUACUCACAGGUUGAAUGACAUCCAAGUUGUUUCAUUUAUUGCUAUUGUGAAUAAGGCUGCUACAAACAUUCAUGUACAGGUUUUUGUGGGAACACAAAUUUCAUUUCCCUGGGAUGAAUGAACAGGAGUGCAAUUGCUGGGUUAUAUGUUAGUUGCAGGUUUAGUUGUUUUAAGAAAAUGCCAAACUCGUUUUCAGAGUGGCUAUAACAUUUUACAUUUACAUCAGCAAUAGAUGAAUAACCAAGUUUCUUUGCAUUCUUGCCAGGAAGGAAGGUGUUGUCACAAUUUUUUUUUUUUUUUUGCCAUUCUGUUCUUAUAUAGAGACAUUUCAUUGUGGUUUUAAUUUGCAUUUUCCUAAUGACUAAUAAUAUUGAACAUCUUUUCAUGGCAGAUGGCUUAUUUGCCAUCUGCACAUUCUAUUCAGUGAAAAGUUUAUGUCUUUUGGCCAUUUUCUUUUUCUUUUUCUUUUCUUUUCUUUUUUUUCUGAGAUGGAGUCUCGCUCUGUUGCCCAGGCUGAAGUGCAGUGGUGCGAUCUCGGCUCACUGCAACCUCUGCCUCCGGGUUCAAGAGAUUUCCAGUGAAUUUUUGUAUUUUUAGUAGAGACAGGGUUUCACCAUGUUAGCCAGGCUGGUCUUGAACUCCUGACCUCAAGCGAUUCGCCUGCCUCAGCCUCCCAAAGUGCUAGGAUUACAAGUGUGAGCCAAUGGGCCUGGCCAUUUUCUUAAUUAGAUUGUUUUUUACUGUCACCUCUUGCUCUGAGCCUCUUUUGAUGUGUUAACAGAAUAUUGGAAUCUUUAUUCAUUACUUUACCCUCAGCUUCUAUUCCUUCAUUUUGUUAAGGACUUUUGCAUCUAUAUCAGUGAGGGUUAUUGGUUUAUAGUUUUCUUUUUUGUGCUGUCUUUGACUGGCUUUGGUAUAAGGGUAAUAUUAACUUCAUAAAAUGGGGUGGGAAUGCCACCCCCCUCUCUUUUCUGGAGGGGAUUGUGUAGAAUUGGUGUUAAUUUUUCUUUAAUAUUUGGUAGAAUUCUCUAAUGAAAUAAUCUGGUCCUGGAGGGUUUUUUUGAGAGUUAGAAAAUUACAAAUUAAAACCUUAAUAAUAAUAGGGCUAUUUUAAUGAUCUAUUUCAUAUUGAGUGACUUGCAAUAGCAUAUUUUUCAAGAAAUUGGUCCAUUUCUUUUAAGUUGUAGAAUUUUCUCUUUUUAUUAUUUUGAUGUCUUCAGGGUCUAUGGCGAUAUCCUGUUUCAUUCCUGAUAUUGGUAACUUAUGUGUUCUCUCAAUUUUGGGGGAUCAGUCUUGCUAGAAGUUUAUCAACUUUAUUGAUCUUUUCAAAAAAUAACUCUUUGUUUCAUUUCAUUAAUUUUCUCUAUUGUUUUUCUGUUUCUUUCUUUCUUUCUUUCUUUUUUUUUUUUUUUGAGACAGAGUCUCACUUACUCUGCCACCGAGGCUGCAGUGCAGUGGUGCGAUCUCUGCUUGCUGCAACCUCCGCCUCUUGAGUUCAAGUAAUUCUCCUUCCUCAGCCUCCCAAGUAGCUGGCAUUACAGGCGCCCACCACAAUGCCCGGCUAAUUUCUGCGUUUUUUGUGGAAACAUAGUUUCACCAUGUUGGCCAGGCUGGUCUCGAACCCUUGACCUCAAGUUAUCUGCUUGCCUCGGCCUCCCAAAGUGCUGGGAUUAUAGGCAUGAGCCACCUCACUCAGCCUGUUUUUCUGUUUCUUAUUUUGUUGAUUUUCAUGAUUAUUUCCUUUCUUAUGCUUCCUUUGAGUUUAAUUUGCUCUUCUUUUUCUAGACUCUUUUUUUUUGAGACAGUGUUUUCUCUUGUUUCCCAGGCUGGAGUGCAAUGGCGC